AUUGAACGCUGGCGGCAGGCCUAACACAUGCAAGUCGAGCGAGCGGCGGACGGGUGAGUAAUGUCUGGGGAUCUGCCCGAUAGCGGGGGAUAACUACUGGAAACGGUGGCUAAUACCGCAUACUAUCGGAUGUACCCAUAUGGGAUUAGCUAGUAGGGGGGGUAAAGGCUCACCUCGGCGACGAUCCCUAGCUGGUCUGAGAGGAUGAUCAGCCACACUGGGACUGAGACACGGCCCAGACUCCUACGGGAGGCAGCAGUGGGGAAUAUUGCACAAUGGGCGCAAGCCUGAUGCAGCCAUGCCGCGUGUAUGAAGAAGGCCUUAGGGUUGUAAAGUACUUUCAGCGGGGAGGCGUUACCCGCAGAAGAAGCACCGGCUAACGCCGUGCCAGCAGCCGCGGUAAUUC
rnacentral:rRNA from 1 species